AACAAAUUAGUUCUGCUGACAAAGGAUCAGGAGGAGCUGAAUGUCGCCCACAAACUUUCCUCUGAAGAUGCUGACGAGCUGCAACAAAGACUGCCAGUAGAGCUGACGGUAACCAGAAAGGGCCAAGAGGUUAUGAAGUUGCUGAAAGCUCCACCUCCUCUGGAUGAAAAUUUUAUUAAUCGUUUGAAUGAGAGCAUCAGUACUUCUUCACAGAGAGCUGCUGAAAAUGAUCCAGGACUUGAACAGAAAGAGGGACAAGUAGUUUCAGUACAACAGCAAAGCACAGAUGAGCCUGAAAGAAAUGAUGAGGAAUGUCAGGCUUCAGAAAACACCUCUCUUCUUCUGGAGAAGCCAAGCUCCUCCUCCUCGACCUCUAACAUGGAGAU